rnacentral:rRNA from 1 species
GAUGAACGCUGGCGGCGUGCCUAAUACAUGCAAGUCGAGCGAAUGGAUUAAGAGCUUACUCUUAUGAAGUUAGCGGCGGACGGGUGAGUAACACGUGGGUAACCUGCCCAUAAGACUGGGAUAACUCCGGGAAACCGGGGCUAAUACCGGAUAAUAUUUUGAACUGCAUGGUUCAGAAUUGAACGGCGGCUUCGGCUGGCCCUUAUGGAUGGACCCGCGUCGCAUUAGCUAGUUGGUGUGGUAACGGCUCACCAAGGCAACGAUGCGUAGCCGACCUGAGAGGGUGAUCGGCCACACUGGGACUGAGACACGGCCCAGACUCCUACGGGAGGCAGCAGUAGGGAAUCUUCCGCAAUGGACGAAAGUCUGACGGAGCAACGCCGCGUGAGUGAUGAAGGCUUUCGGGUCGUAAAACUCUGUUGUUAGGGAAGAACAAGUGCUAGUUGAAUAAGCUGGCACCUUGACGGUACCUAACCAGAAAGCCACGGCUAACUACGUGCCAGCCGCCGCAGUAA